AUUGCACGCUGGCGGCAGGCCUAACACAUGCAAAUCGAGCGAGCGGAGGACGGGUUAGUAAUGUAUGGUGACUGCCCGAUAGAGGUGGAUAACUACUGGAAACGGUAGCUAACACCGCAUAAUAUCUGAUACCCCCUAUGGGAUUAGCUCGUAGGUGUGGUAAUGUCUCACCUAGGCGACGAUCCCUAGCUGUUCUGAGAGGAUGAUCAGCAACACGGGAACUGAGACACGGCCCAUGCUCGUAUGGAGUCAGCAGGGGGGAAUGUGGAACAAGGGGCGAAAGCCUGAUGCAUCGAAGCCGCGUGUGUUAAGAGGGCCCUAGGGUUUUAAAGUACUUUCAGUCUGGAGGCGUUACCGUUAGAAGAAGCACCUGCUAACUCCGUGCUAGCCGCCGCGGUAAUUC
rnacentral:rRNA from 1 species